CUCCCCGCCGCCGUUGUACCUUUUCCAGGGCAUCGUGCCACAUCUCCGUACGAGUGACAUCUCUCCAGUCCAGUAUGCACUCCUCUGAUACAGGCCCAUCCUGUUGGGCCAAGUGCUGCUGCAACCUCCAGCGAAACUCCUCUUCCAUGUUGCUGUGGAUAGGGACGCUGCCCGUAGCUAGCUCUAUCCCUUGAGUUCCUCUGAAGCCAGGGUCGCUGCACAAGUGCUAGCGUUGCCCUCAAUUAUAAAUCCGUAACUCCACACGUUACCGGUGU